rnacentral:rRNA from 1 species
CGGAGAGUCGCGACUUCUAGGAGACGCGAAUCUCUGAGAUAAAAAGUUAAUUACAACUUUCAGCAAUGGAUCUCUUGGCUCUCGCAUCGAUGAAGAACGCAGCGAAAAGCGAUAUGUAAUGUGAAUUGCAGAUCUACAGUGAAUCAUCGAAUCUUUGAACGCACCUUGCGCUCCUCGGUGUUCCGAGGAGCAUGCCUGUUUGAGUGUCAGUAAAUUCUCAACCCCUCUYGAUUUGUUUCGAGGGGGAGCUUGGAUGGUGGGGGCUGCCGGAGACUAGGACUCGUCCUGGACUCGGGCUCUCCUUAAAUGCAUCGGCUUGCGGUCGACUUUCGACUUUGCGCGACAAGGCUUUCGGCGUGAUAAUGAUCGCCGUUYGCUGAAGCGCAUGAAUGAAKGUUCCGUGCCUCUAAUGCGUCGACUUACUAUCUCUUCGGAGAGAAAACGUCUUCCUUAUUGACUUUUGACCUCAAAUCAGGUAGGACUACCCGCUGAACUUAAGCAUAUCAAUAAGCGGAGGAAAAGAAACUAACAAGGAUUCCCCUAGUAACUGCGAGUGAAGAGGGAAAAGCUCAAAUUUUGAAUCUGGCGGUCUUUUGGUCGUCCGAGUGUAUCWGAAAGNUNC